rnacentral:rRNA from 1 species
UACGUAGGGUGCGAGCGUUGUCCGGAAUUAUUGGGCGUAAAGAGCUCGUAGGCGGUUUGUUGCGUCGGCCGUGAAAACCUGCAGCUUAACUGUGGGCCUGCGGCCGAUACGGGCAGACUUGAGUUCGGUAGGGGAGACUGGAAUUCCUGGUGUAGCGGUGAAAUGCGCAGAUAUCAGGAGGAACACCGAUGGCGAAGGCAGGUCUCUGGGCCGAUAUUGACGCUGAGGAGCGAAAGCGUGGGGAGCGAACAGG